UACAGAGGGUGCAAGCGUUGUUCGGAAUUAUUGGGCGUAAAGCGCGUGUAGGUGGCUUUCUAAGUCUGGUGUGAAAGCCCGGGGCUCAACCCCGGAAGUGCACUGGAUACUGGAAAGCUAGAGGGCGAGAGAGGAGAUUGGAAUUCAUGGUGUAGGGGUGAAAUCCGUAGAUAUCAUGAGGAACAUCUGUGGCGAAGGCGAAUCUCUGGCUCGUUUCUGACACUGAGACGCGAAAGCGUGGGGAGCAAACAGG
rnacentral:rRNA from 1 species